rnacentral:rRNA from 1 species
GAUGAACGCUGGCGGCGUGCUUAAUACAUGCAAGUCGAACGGAAAUUGUAGCAAUACAAUUUUAGUGGCGAACGGGUGAGUAACGCGUUGGUGACCUGCCCCGAAGAGAGGGAUAACAGUCCGAAAGGAUUGCUAAUACCUCAUGUUGUUGCCGGGUUUAGAAGCUGGCAACUAAAGGCGUAAGCCACUUUGGGAGGGACCUGCGUCCCAUCAGCUAGUUGGUGAGGUAACGGCCCACCAAGGCGAUGACGGGUAGGGGACCUGAGAGGGUGGCCCCCCACAAUGGUACUGAAACACGGACCAUACACCUACGGGUGGCAG